AGAGUUUGAUCAUGGCUCAGGACGAACGCUGGCGGUAUGCUUAACACAUGCAAGUCGAACGAGACGAGAUGGAAGUGCUUGCACGGAAAUCUUAGAAAGUGGCGAACGGGUGAGUAACGCGUGGGUAACCUGCCCUAUGGAAAGGAAUAGCCUCGGGAAACUGGGAGUAAUGCCUUAUAAUACAUUGAAGUCGCAUGGCUUUGAUGUUAAACGCUCCGGUGCCAUAGGAUGGACCCGCGUCCCAUUAGCUAGUUGGUGAGAUAACAGCCCACCAAGGCGACGAUGGGUAACCGGUCUGAGAGGGCGAACGGUCACACUGGAACUGAGACACGGUCCAGACUCCUACGGGAGGCAGCAGUGGGGAAUAUUGCGCAAUGGGGACAACCCUGACGCAGCAAUACCGCGUGAGUGAAGAAGGUUUUCGGAUCGUAAAGCUCUGUUAUUGGGGAAGAGGGAA
rnacentral:rRNA from 1 species